rnacentral:rRNA from 1 species
GACGAACGCUGGCGGCGUGCUUAACACAUGCAAGUCGAACGGUAAGGCCCUUCGGGGUACACGAGUGGCGAACGGGUGAGUAACACGUGGGUGAUCUGCCCUGCACUUCGGGAUAAGCCUGGGAAACUGGGUCUAAUACCGGAUAGGACCACUGCCUGCAUGGGUGGUGGUGGAAAGCUUUUGCGGUGUGGGAUGGGCCCGCGGCCUAUCAGCUUGUUGGUGGGGUGAUGGCCUACCAAGGCGACGACGGGUAGCCGGCCUGAGAGGGUGACCGGCCACAGUGGGGCUGAGAGAGUGCCCAGACUCCUACGGGAGGCAGCAGUGGGGAAUAUUGCACAAUGGGCGCAAGCCUGAUGCAGCGACGCCGCGUGAGGGAUGACGGCCUUCGGGUUGUAAACCUCUUUCAGCACCGACGAAGCGCAAGUGACGGUAGGUGCAGAAGAAGGACCGGCCAACUACGUGCCAGCCGCCGCCGUAA